GCCUUCCUGUGGGAUUCCCCGAGGAACAAAAUAUUACUGCGAUGUAAAACCGAAAAUUGAAACAGCCUGGUGAUUCACCAGAGAAAAUGCCUCUCCCUUUUCCCAAUUCAGUGAGGCGGAGACGAACGUUGUGGGGAUUGAAAGAAAAAGUGAAAAAGCCUUUAAUUAAUCCCCGGAGGUUAAACGAUGCCAGAUACGGACAGGAUUCCUCCCCUGGAGCAGGGAUGCGGUGCUCCGGCUGCAGCACAGGGCUGGGGGGGCUGAGGCUGCUCAGGAGAGAAGCUGCUGCUCACAGGGACUUUUGGAAGCGCUACCUGCCCCAGGGAGACCUGCCGAGUUCAAGGUCGGGUUUGUUUGUCUUCCGUCCUGACAGACACCGAACGUUUCGUAAUAUUCAGGAAGUCCCUUUUAUCAGCUUCCAUUCAAUUUAUAAGAUUAAGAGGAUGGAAAAACAAAUACUGCUCCUGGAUGGAAAGUGCUGGCAGCGGCCGGGCCAGCACUGUGUUUGUGUGAGGACUGUUAAUAGGGCAUCUCCUGCUUCCCCGAGCCAGGAGGGGCUGCCUGCAAAGUGUGCUGCUUCUUGUGAGAAGGGCUGUGCUGGGGGCAACGGCUUUGCUCGAUGUGCAGAACGAUGAGUAAAACACAGAGCACCGCAGCUCUCACCGGAGGCUGAAGGCAGAGCUCUGUGCUCAGAAAGCGCACUGGAAAAGAGACCACUGCCAUUUGUGAUUUGAGUGAUGGGCAGAGUUGGGAAGGAUAAACCACCGCAAGACCAGACUUCCUCAUUGUGAUCUUCUGCCUGGAAGUUCUGGAACUAUCAGGAGAAGCCUCAUCUGUGUGAAGCUGCUGUCAGAUGAGAAAGCAUUUGGCAGAGUGCAAAGCCGGGGCGCCACCCCUGCUUUUUGAUGCCAAUUGGUGAUGACAUCAAAGGAAAUACACAGUGAUCGAAAUAUACAUUGGAAAAAUACUCCAGUAUCCCCCAAAGACUGCAACAGAGCUGCAGAGCAGAGCAGCCCAAAUCCCCGCUGCCACCCUUCCCGUGUUGCCAUCGCAGCACCGGGCCCAGUGGUGCUCUGGGGCUGUUUGGAGGAGGAGCGCAGCACAGGGACGUGGAUCAGCCACCCCUGUCUGCAGAGAGCCCGCAGCAUUUGGGAUUUCUGUGCCCCCAAAGCUACACAGCACUGCCCUUCCUUUGAGCAGGUGAUGGAUGGGCUGAUCCUCUCCUUCCUGCUCUCCUUGUUCUCAAUCUCUGCCCUCGGCAAAGCAUUGCCCACCACGACGCAAGCAAGGUCUUUGCCCUCCAUCCCUUUACAUCCCCAUCCCCACGGGUAUGAGUGCCUGCAGAACUGCAGGGCUGUCCUUCUGGCUGCUUACGGUGAGCACCUGCAGCUCAGCUCUCAGACAGACCCUCUCAUGGCCGCGCACCGCUGCGCUCCGGGCCCUCACAUCUCAGAAAUCUCUCCCUGUACUUCAAGCAAACUUUGUUUUCAGCAGAAACUGCUCCUUUCAGCCUUCACCUCCAAACCAGGCCUGUGUUACGGCAGCUGAAAGGUCCCGGUUAAGUUAGAGGAGGAAGCUGUGCACAGAGCCACGGAGAUGUGCAUCUGCCGCUGCAGGAAAGCAGCAGCGCGUUCCCAUUGCAGCACGCCGGCAGUUGGGCCAGCCCUGAAUUACAUGCUGGAGUGAGAGCUUCCCUUGUGGUCACACAAAAAAGAAAGGCUUUAAAAACACCAUUUUAAAUGGUGCCCAGGGGUAUAUUUAAAGAACAGCUAGCCAAAUUCCACACUGCUUCGGGCCGCUGGAACGCCGCCGGGCUGCGGCGGGGCUGCAAAGCAGAUAAGAAAGCGCAGCGCUCGGCCAAUUAGUUUUAACCAUCAUUAUAUAAUAUUGAUGUCACAUUGAAUAUACAUAUAUAUAUUCUGGCGCGGCGGCUGAAAUUAAAUUGAUUUAUUAAGUUGAUACCGCGCGCCGAUGCCAAGCUACCAGGUAAUUGAUCAGCUGCCUCCAGUGAACUCCAACGUGUAAUUUCCAGCGCAAUUUGACUGAUCAGCAAUACCAUAAUUGGUUGCAAAUGUCCUUCCUUCUAUUUGUUUUGUUAAGUGGCUUUUUCAUUAACGCAGCGGAGCCAAGUAAAUAAAUAUGACUUUACUAUU